rnacentral:rRNA from 1 species
GACGAACGCUGGCGGCGUGCUUAACACAUGCAAGUCGAACGAUGAAGCUGGAGCUUGCUCCGGUGGAUUAGUGGCGAACGGGUGAGUAACACGUGAGAAAUCUGCCCUUCACUCUGGGAUAACUGCGGGAAACUGUAGCUAAUACCGGAUACUUUCCCUGGUGGGCAUCCACUAGGGAAGAAAGAAUUUCGGUGAAGGAUGAUCUCGCGGCCUAUCAGCUAGUUGGUGAGGUAAUGGCUCAGCAAGGCGACGACGGGUAGCCGGCCUGAGAGGGGGACCGGCCACACGGGGACUGAGACACGGCCCAGACUCCUACGGGAGGCAGCAGUGGGGAAUAUUGCACAAUGGGCGAAAGCCUGAUGCAGCAACGCCGCGUGUGGGAUGAAGGCCUUCGGGUUGUAAACCUCUUUUAGCAGGGAAGAAGCGAAAGUGACGGUACCUGCAGAAAAAGCACCGGCUAACUACGUGCCAGCCGCCGCGGUAA